UAAGUGUACCAGAAGGUGCACUUGGAUCACAAAGCGUAGCUUAAUACAUAAAGCCCCUUGUUUACACCAAGACUAUAUUUGUUUAAACCAAAUCGCUUUGAGCUAAAAAUCUAGCCUAUCAACUUCUUAUACCUAUUUUACUAAUAAAUUUAAGCAAAACAUUCUCAACUUCUAGUAAAGGCGAUAGAAAAAAUUCUUAGAGCUUUAACUUAAGUACCGCAAGGGAAUGAUGAAAUAUUAUGAAAAAUUUAAGCAUAAAAAAGUAAAGGUUAACUCUUGUACCUUUUGCAUCAUGGUCUAGCAAGUCUUUAUCAAGCAAAGAGACUCUCUAGUUUGACCCCCCGAAACUAGGCGAGCUACUUCAAAACAGCCUUUUGGGCUAACCCGUCUCUGUAGCAAAAGAGUGGGAAGAUUUUUAAGUAGAAGCGAAAAACCUAUCGAGCCUAGAGAUAGCUGGUUAUUUAGGAAAAGAAUUUUAGUUCUGCCUUAAGCUUUUUUAUUACUAAUAACAAAUCUUUAAGCUUAAGAUUUAUUCCAACAGGGCACAGCCUAUUGGAAAAAGGAUACAGCCUAAAAAUAUGGGUAAGUUUUACUAUCUUAAUAAGUG
rnacentral:rRNA from 1 species